AGCAGCAUGGCGCAGUGGUAGCGCGCGGGGCCCAUAUUGACCACGAUGAGGGAACCCCGAGGUCACUUGAUCGAAACAAGUUGCUGCUA